rnacentral:lncRNA from 1 species
GGGGUGAUCUCUAGCAAGCCCUUCCCCUGAUGCUUUGGAGAGACAUUGGGACCGAACCACCAUUUGCACACAAGACUAGAAAUUAGUAGUUGUGGAUAACGAUUUGCAAGCAGAACUGGGCCUUGUCACCCCUGCCUCCCACUCUGAAAAGGGCCGAGCAGUGUCUUCCUGUGCAGACCCAAGAAGGCCUCAGGGAGGUGAUGUGUGUCUGCUGUCACCAGAAAGUCUAUUUGAAUGGGGAGAAUCCUUCAUCUUUUGAAGAGGAUGGUAUCCCCUCUCCUCC